rnacentral:rRNA from 1 species
UCAAAUGAACAAAGGGCUUACGGUGGAUACCUAGGCAUCCAGAGACGACGAAGGGCGUACUAAUCGACGAAACGCUCCGGGGAGCUGACAAGAAGCAUUGAUCCGGAGAUCCCCGAAUAGGGCAACCUCUUGAACUCUCCGCUGAAUAAAUAGGCGGAGCAGAGACAACCUGGUGAAUUGAAACAUCUUAGUAGCCAGAGGAAAAGAAAGCAAAAGCGAUUCCCUUAGUAGCGGCGAGCGAAAGGGGAACAGUCUAAACCAGAAAAAUUCGUUUUUCUGGGGUUGUGGGACAGCAUUAUGAAUGAAAACUUGCUAGGUGAAGCAACUGAAUAUUGCACCAUAGAUGGUGAAAGUCCAGUAACCGAAAGUGUGUUUUCAAUCCAGCUGAAUCCCGAGUAGCAUGGGGCACGUGAAAUCCCGUGUGAAUCCGCGAGGACCACCUCGUAAGACUAAAUACUCCUGGGUGACCGAUAGCGAAAUAGUACCGUGAGGGAAAGGUGAAAAGAACCCCCAUCGGGGAGUGAAAUAGAACAUGAAACCGUAAGCUUACAAGCAGUGGGAGGAGGUUUUGAUCUCUGACCGCGUGCCUAUUGAAGAAUGAGCCGGCGACUUAUAGGCAGUGGCUAGGUUAAGGUACAAAAACCGGAGCCAUAGCGAAAGCGAGUCUUAAUAGGGCGAUGUCACUGUCUAUAGACCCGAACCCGGGUGAUCUAACCAUGGCCAGGAUGAAGCUUUGGUGAAACUCAGUGGAAGUCCGAACCGACCGAUGUUGAAAAAUCGGCGGAUGAGUUGUGGUUAGGGGUGAAAUGCCAAUCGAACUCGGAGCUAGCUGGUUCUCCCCGAAAUGCGUUGAGGCGCAGCGGUUGGAUAGGGCUUUCUAGGGGUAAAGCACUGUUUCGGUGCGGGCUGCGAGAGCGGUACCAAAUCGAUGCAAACUCUGAAUACUAGAAACGCCUCCAUCCAACCAGUGAGACGGUGGGGGAUAAGCUCCAUCGUCGAGAGGGAAACAGCCCAGAUCACCAGCUAAGGCCCCUAAAUGGCCGCUAAGUGGCAAAGGAUGUGAGAGUGCAGAGACAACCAGGAGGUUUGCCUAGAAGCAGCCACCCUUAAAAGAGUGCGUAAUAGCUCACUGGUCAAGCGCUCUUGCGCCGAAAAUGGACGGGACUAAGCGGCCUGCCGAAGCUGUGAGAUGUCUCUAUGGAGAUAUCGGUAGGGGAGCGUUCCGCUAUAGGGUGAAGCAUCAGCGUAAGUAGAUGUGGACGAAGCGGAAGUGAGAAUGUCGGCUUGAGUAGCGAAAACAUUGGUGAGAAUCCAAUGCCCCGAAAACCUAAGGGUUCCUCCGCAAGGCUCGUCCACGGAGGGUUAGUCAGGACCUAAGGAAAGGCCGAAAGGCGUAUUCGAUGGACAACAGGUUAAUAUUCCUGUACUAUGAUGGGUUGGCACCGAGGGACGGAGAAGGCUAAGUCAGCCGGAUGCUGGUUACCGGUUUAAGCGAUCAAGGCUAUGAGAGGUAGAGAAAAUACCUUGAGCUAAGACGUAAAUACGAGGUGCUUAGGCGCUGAAGUGACUGAUGUCAAGCUUCCAAGAAAAGCUCGAAAUGCCAUAAACCCAUAGUACCUGUACCCGAAACCGACACAGGUAGGUAGGUAGAGUAUACCAAGGGGCGCGAGAUAACUCUCUCUAAGGAACUCGGCAAAAUAGCCCCGUAACUUCGGGAGAAGGGGUACCCCGUAAGGGGUCGCAGUGACCAGGCCCAGGCGACUGUUUACCAAAAACACAGGUCUCCGCUAAGUCGUAAGACAAGAUAUGGGGGCUGACGCCUGCCCAGUGCCGGAAGGUUAAGGAAGUUGGUCACCCGUAAGGGGAAGCUAGCGACCGAAGCCCCGGUGAACGGCGGCCGUAACUAUAACGGUCCUAAGGUAGCGAAAUUCCUUGUCGGGUAAGUUCCGACCCGCACGAAAGGCGUAACGAUCUGGGCGCUGUCUCGGAGAGAGACUCGGCGAAAUAGACAUGUCUGUGAAGAUGCGGACUACCUGCACCUGGACAGAAAGACCCUAUGAAGCUUUACUGUAACCUGGAAUUGGGUUUGGGCUCUUCUUGCGCAGCUUAGGUGGAAGGCGUUGAAGGUAUCCUUCCGGGGAUACUGGAGCCAACAGUGAGAUACCACUCUGGAAGAGCUAGAAUCCUAAUCUUACGCCGUAACCCGGCUAAGAGACAUUUUCAGGCGGGCAGUUUGACUGGGGCGGUCGCCUCCUGAAAAGUAACGGAGGCGUACAAAGGUAAGCCAAAAUAGAUAAACUAUGCGCAAUGGCAGAAGCUUGCCUGACUGCAAGAAAAACAGUUCGAGCAGAGACGAAAGUCGGUCAUAGUGAUCCGGGGUUUCCUUGUGGAUGGGACCCCGCUCAACGGAUCAAAGGUACGCCGGGGAUAACAGGCUGAUGACUCCCAAGAGUUCCCAUCGACGGAGUCGUUUGGCACCUCGAUGUCGACUCAUCACAUCCUGGAGCUGAAGAAGGUUCCAAGGGUUCGGCUGUUCGCCGAUUAAAGUGGUACGUGAGUUGGGUUUAGAACGUCGUGAGACAGUUCGGUUCCUAUCUACCGUUGGAAAAUAAGCACAUUAGUGUGUUAAAAAGUUGUGGAGGCUCUUCUUUAGUACGAGAGGACCAAGAAGAAUCAACCCUGGGUGAACCGAUUGUUCUACCAAGAGCAUCGUCGGGAAGCUAAGUUGAUAUUAUAGUUGUGAGAAAGUCUGAUGUUCUUCUAAGACUGAAUCAUUCUCCAAAAAGCUUUUUUCUUACAUAAUAGACUAUUAUGAUAUUAGGAGUUUUGAAAAGUGUACCAACUGUAAAGUUAUUUUUAGCUUACAUUCCUAAUAAAAUUUUCCUUUUUUAUGC